rnacentral:rRNA from 1 species
AUGCGUGCAGGCAUAGAUGAGGUCUUUCCGUUGGCAGUGCACAGGCACUGCAGGUGGCACAUUAUAAAGAAGGCUGAGGAGACGCUAGGACCAUUCUUUGCUGACCGUCCAAAGCUGUACAAGGCAUUUGAGCUGUGCGUGGACCACAGCUUGACGGUGGAGGAGUUUGAAAGGAGCUGGAUGGCCAUGAUUGAAACAUAUCAAGUCCCAGACAACGGGACUCUUGCUAAUCUGUGGGAGAAGCGAAUGUACUGGGUGCCGGCCUACUUCAUGCAGUGCUUCUUCCCGUUUCUGCAGACUACGCAGCGCAGCGAGGGGUUCAAUGCUGUUUUGAAGCGGUACGUGAGCCCUGGCAACUCAUUGCUACAGUUUGCCAAGCAGUACACAACUUUGCAACAAAAAAUACUGGGAUCUGAGCUACAGCAAGAAGCGAACACCGUGCUAAAGCAGCCAAAAUUUCUAACGUAUUUACCGAUGGAGAGGCAAAUGAGCAAGAUAUACACCAACAAGAUCUUUAACAAGUAA